GACGGGUGAGUAACGCGUGAGAAUCUGGCUUCAGGUCCGGGACAACAGUUGGAAACGGCUGCUAAUACCGGAUGUGCCCUUGGGUGAAAGGCUAGCUGCCUGGAGAUGAGCUCGCGUCCGAUUAGUUAGUUGGUGUGGUAAGAGCGCACCAAGACGGCGAUCGGUAGCUGGUCUGAGAGGACGAUCAGCCACACUGGAACUGAGACACGGUCCAGACUCCUACGGGAGGCAGCAGUGGGGAAUUUUCCGCAAUGGGCGAAAGCCUGACGGAGCAAUACCGCGUGAGGGAGGAAGGCUCUUGGGUUGUAAACCUCUUUUCUCAAGGAAUAAUAAAUUGAAGGUACUUGAGGAAUAAGCAUCGGCUAACUCCGUGCCAGCAGCCGCGGUAAUACGGAGGAUGCAAGCGUUAUCCGGAAUGAUUGGGCGUAAAGCGUCCGCAGGUGGUUUAUCAAGUCUGCUGUCAAAGCGUCUGGCUUAACUAGAUAAAGGCAGUGGAAACUGAGAGACUGGAGUAUGGUAGGGGUAGAGGGAAUUCCCGGUGUAGCGGUGAAAUGCGUAGAGAUCGGGAAGAACACCGGUGGCGAAAGCGCUCUGCUGGACCAUAACUGACACUGAGGG
rnacentral:rRNA from 1 species